UUCAAACACUCUCUGCAAAAAUUUGAUUGAGUGGAAAUUGGUUUGAUCUCGAAAUUCCGAAUUUUUAAUCUCAACAGAUUUGAAACCUCGAUUUUUAGCCGAAGUUGGAUUUGCGGCCGCAGCUCAGCUCCAUCUCUGUAUAUCCUCCUCAAUCUAGUCAGUGAAGCUGUUAAUAAAAAUUAGUGAAUGUUGCUCGGAUGUUGAUUUUUCGCCCUGUUGGUUGGCAUACAUUGAAUUGACUCAAUAAGGAGAUCGAGUGGGGUUUCCAGUGGAUUAGAGUCUUCUUCGAUCCCAGACGGCUUCACAGCUUCGGCCACAACAACCUCAGCUGAGUUUCUUCAGUUUUCAUACAAUUCUCAAGAUGAAAUUAUGACUAAUGAGAAAAUGCAAUCUCAUGAUAGAAUGAGUUCAGCGAGGAGGACAAGCUGCUUGCCUUUAACUUUUAAGUGAAUCUGCACGAGAGGAGAAUCAGAUGAUUGUAUCUACAACAUCCAACCACUUGAGGUGCAAGUGGUCUAGUCAAGAACACAAAUGUCAUUUAACGAAGAGCUCUAACACAGAAUUGGAACGAUAAAAAAUUCAUUGAGCAGGCUUGGACUGAUCUUGGACUCUGUUCAGGGUGACAUCAUGCAAGUAAACAAGCAAAAGAUAUGAGGCAGAAAUUGAAUUCCCAUGAUGAAACUCACUGCAGCUGGUGGUGGGAUGUUUCAGAAGGCUCUCACACAAAUCUGUGUUUUAUAAAGGGCAUGCCAUUGGCUUUAGAACAUGUUAAAUUGUGAUUAAACAGGUCAACGGACAAGAAGCCAUCAAAAGUGGCCUGGACACGGGCUUGAAAUCUCUGUCUGAUCAACUCAACAGGGUCUAAAGCACUCCACUCUGAAACUGCUGUCGCCUGUCACCCUUCUCAUCAAGAAGUUCAGUUUCCAGACAAUACAACAAGGCAAUUAAAAACAUGGCAAACAACUCUAUUACCACCAAAGGCAAAAUUGGGAGGCUGGACGUGUCAAAAUGAGAACUUUUCGAUGUUCGCACCUGAUUCCAAGUGUGACUUCUUGUUUUUGUUAGAAACAGAUAAAUAUUCAAUAGAGGAAGUAAAAAAAUGAUACUGCACGAAUCCUCAGCAAGCCAGGAGGAGGAGAAAAAGAAAAUAUUGCAACACCAUUAUCAUAAAUUGAAGGUAUUCCGUUGCUAUCAGACAGUUGUCAUUUUGAGCUCAUAAAAUUAUCCAUUGCAAAAUGAAACUCUAAUAGUACUAACUAAAUCACUAAAGUGAUUUCCUCCUAUCUCUCUAGAUAACCAUGUCAUUUUGUGGAGCCAUUAACUGAA